rnacentral:tRNA from 1 species
GGACCCGUAGCUCAGCUGGAUAGAGCAACCGCCUCCUAAGCGGUAGGUCGCGCGUUCGAAUCGCGCCGGGUCCACCA